GCAAGCAGGAUUAUGUUUUCUGCAUGUCGGAAUGUGACACGGCAGCCGAAGGAUGUGCGAUACAAUGGCAGGUGCUUUGUAGUAAGCCUACUCAGUCAUUAAUUUGUGCAUCCACAUAUCUUGUGAUUACAGCCAAGUCAUGUGAUUGGGUGGAGUUAGAAGAAGUCUGCCUUUGUUAUAGUGUAUGGCAUAUGUGGCAUUUUCUGAUUGCAGGUUAGCCGAAUAGCUUAUGUAGCUUAGUGAUUGUAUAUUGAACAGUUUUGAGGCUCUGCGUGGGAGUCACAACAGGCACAGUACGUAACUGUUUUGUAAAGGCAGUGAAUAAUACAUGGUUGGUUGUGAUACUCGCUAAGAGUGUCAAAUGAUUGGUGAAUCUAAUUUUGCAUUAUGGGGAGUUUCUUUAUUGAUUGGUGAAAUUGAACACUGUUGAUUUGUCUGCGAUGGGCUGGGUGCAUGUUUUCUCUUCAACAGGUAUUUGGCACAAGGAACUCUGCCCAUAGUGAGAGACUUGAAGAGGUACGCAGUUUGUAAGCUUGCACCGGUAAUAAUACAAUUAUUUCUGUGAGUCUAGUUGCUUGCUUUGAUGUAAGGUAAUAGUCUAGAUAGUUACCCUUGGUUGAUGUGGGGGCAUUUAAAUGUGGGAUAAGCUGUUUGGUUCCUCUCCAGCAGGUGCUGUGUGACAAAUUGUGUACUGUGGCCCGUUAGGAAUGGAUAACCAAGUUUGGACAACUUGAAAGAGGAGUAUCGUAGGGGGAUUUAGAGCCAAUCGUGAGGUAACAGUUAGAUUGGCCACUUUGUGAGUAUGUGGCUUUGUGUGUUUAAUGAACAUCACAGAUGUGUGUUGUCACCGUGAGCAUUAGUUCAUAGAGUGAAAGGCUAUUAAUUCUCUGGUUGCAGGAAUAUGCUGUAGUGUGUUAUUAGAUGUAAAGGAUGCAAGUAGUAGCGUUCUUGAAGACAAUGUUAGUGAACAUGUAAAUGGGUCAUCAGUAAGCUAAAGGUGUGUACAAGGAGCAAGUGCGAAACUGACAUUGGCGGAGUACGACCAGGAAUGUAUUUGGCAGUAUGAGGGAAGAAUAGGAACAAAGUUCCGUGGCAUUUGACUUGAGACAGGUUCGAGAUUACUUGAGAGCGCUACUAGAACAGUGCAUAUAACCGGACAGAGGUAAUGAUAUAAGUUUGUUUAUUCACUGUGAUUUUUAGUUUUGGCAUCGCCAGUGAGGACUGGUUGUUGUUUUUCUGCCUUUAGGGGUGUUUGGGCCUGUCACAGAUACUGUGGCAGGUGAGAGGGUUUCAUGACUUUCUAAUUGCAGAUGCUGUAAGAGAAUUGGCCUUUGAUUGCCAGGAUUAACUGCAUUUCGUGGAAGGAUUGUCUCCCAGCGAACAUGUAAGCUUGUAUAAAUUUGUUAUGCCAAUUUGAUGUAAUUGUGCAACUGCUAUAGGUAAUGCUACAAACUUGCUAGAUUUAUAUAAUUAAAAUGAUUUGGUUGGAUAUAGUGACUCCUUGCUAUGCAGCUGGGUGGGUGUGGGUGUUUGUGUGAGGUGUGUUGCAGGAGCAAGCAGGAUUAUGUUUUCUGCAUGUCGGAACGUGACACGGCAGCCGAAGGAUGUGCGAUACAAUGGCAGGUGCUUUGUAGUAAGCCUACUCAGUCAUUAAUUUGUGCAUCCACAUAUCUUGUGAUUACAGCCAAGUCAUGUGAUUGGGUGGAGUUAGAAGAAGUCUGCCCUUGUUAUAGUGUAUGGCAUAUGUGGCAUUUUCUGAUUGCAGGUUAGCCGAAUAGCUUAUGUAGCUUAGUGAUUGUAUAUUGAACAGUUUUGAGGCUCUGCGUGGGAGUCACAACAGGCACAGUACGUAACUGUUUUGUAAAGGCAGUGAAUAAUACAUGGUUGGUUGUGAUACUCGCUAAGAGUGUCAAAUGAUUGGUGAAUCUAAUUUUGCAUUAUGGGGAGUUUCUUUAUUGAUUGGUGAAAUUGAACACUGUUGAUUUGUCUGCGAUGGGCUGGGUGCAUGUUUUCUCUUCAACAGGUAUUUGGCACAAGGAACUCUGCCCAUAGUGAGAGACUUGAAGAGGUACGCAGUUUGUAAGCUUGCACCGGUAAUAAUACAAUUAUUUCUGUGAGUCUAGUUGCUUGCUUUGAUGUAAGGUAAUAGUCUAGAUAGUUACCCUUGGUUGAUGUGGGGGCAUUUAAAUGUGGGAUAAGCUGUUUGGUUCCUCUCCAGCAGGUGCUGUGUGACAAAUUGUGUACUGUGGCCCGUUAGGAAUGGAUAACCAAGUUUGGACAACUUGAAAGAGGAGUAUCGUA